rnacentral:lncRNA from 1 species
GAUAUACAGAUGCUCCUUAAUGUUGCUGCAAGACAGGGGAUCCAAGAAGCCCAAGAACUUCUGGAGAAUGUUAUUUUGACUCAAAGCAAGCUCUUGUCAACUAAAGGAACAAGGAGGUUCUACAAAUCAUAACUGUGUCCUACAUGCUCCUCCUAGAACAUGGCAUCUUUUGCUCUCACUUGUCUGUGGCCUUGCAAAGCUCCAUGGAACUUUCAAUAGAAGCUGCUUUUAGAGAUAGUUUUAUAUGUUGCUUAAUCACCAAUUUGCUGCUCAAAAUCCUUUAAAUAAGGUGUUGUUUUGAUGUUUUUCUGAGGUUGACCUCUCCUGGAUAGAGAAAUAUUUUAUUUGGAUUCCAUUACUGCUCACUUCAGCUAACUUUCAUUCAAGUCAGUGAGCAUUCGACAAAAUGGUAGAAGGAAAAGAAGGAAGAAACCUGUCUCACCAGAGAGUUGGCUUCUUAAAUGUGUUACUUGGCUCCGUCAGAUCCACUGAAGGAGCUAAGCUCAUCAUCAGCCUAAUCUAUGACAUGUGGUGCUCUGCUUAAAAUAAGGUUGUUUUCAUGUCUCUACAUUUCAAUUUUCUGCUCUAUUAGGUUUCUAUGAUAUUAUAUUCACUUUUUGUAUUACAAAAAGUUCUUUAUAGGAUUAAAAAUGAGUAUGAUUAUUGUCAUCAAAAAGAAAAAGAAUCAAAGAUAAGAGCUAACAUUUAUUGAACACUCGUCUUGAGGAAGAUAUUUUCCUACCUGCUUUGUGUUUUAACAUUCAGUAGUUAUAAAAAAAAAGUCUUAUGAACUGAGUAGUAGUAUGACUCUCAUUUUACAGACAUGGAAAAAUAAUUGAAGAGAAGUUAGGUAAUAUUCACAGAGUCUUAGAGAGUAAGUGGUAAAGUGGGAUUCUGAAUUUUGAUAGUCCGACUUUAGAGUCGACAUUCUUACCUAGUUCUACUGAUGUCACUCCCCCCAAGUUAUGAACUUAUCCUUCCGAACAACUAAUUUAGAGAGUAGAUAACUAGGUUUGUUACUAGUACAUAGCAAACACUUACUUAGUCAAUAACUCAGCCACAUUUCUGUCUCUUUCUUUCUCUCUCUCUCUUUCUUUCUUUCUCUCUUUCUCUCUUUCUUUCUUCUUUUUCUUUCUUUCUUUCAUUGAUUGAACCAAGGGGCACUCUACCACUGAACUACACUGCCAGCCCUUUAAAUUUUCUUUUCUUAUUUUGAGACAGUAUCUCUCUAAGUUGCUGAGGAUGACUGGAACCUGUCAUCCUCCUGCCUCAGCCUUCCCCAGGGUCACUAGGAUUAUAGUUGUGCACCACCAUGCCAGGUCCCAUUUUCUUAUUGUAUUAUUUUCUUUAAGCACAAGUUACAUAUUUCUAUUUUUCAAGAAGUGUUUUGUUGUUGUUGUUUUAGUUUUCUUGGUACUAGGAAUUAACCCAGCUUUGUCACUGAGCUAUAUCCCCAGACCUUUUUAUUUUAUUUUUUAAGACGGAUCUCACUAAGUUGCUGAGACUGGCUUCAAACUUGCAAUCCUCCUGUCUCAGACUUCCAAGUUGCUAAGGGAUUACAGGCCUAUACCAUCAGGGCUGCCCACAAGUGUUAUUUUUAACCUUAAGUGCAGUUGGCUGUAUUUAUUGCAUUAGAUUGUAGCAUAGUUCUCUACUUGGAAUAUAAAUUCAGAAACAUGAUGUGAGGAUGACAAAAGUGUCAAAUUAGAAUUAAGUGUAACGAUUAGGCUUUAUUUAAAAUACUUGUUUCCCUUUUAAAUGUCAAGUUUAUACUGCCUAAUAGCAGUAGAAACCUCAGAAGAUGACUGUGAGCCUUAGGCUAUUUCUUCUUCAUCCAAGUGGAACCCAUAGACUUUUAAGGAUGUAGAUGAGAUGGUCAAAUGUUGUUUUGUGCUUCAUUUUUUAUGAAGCAAUUUUAAACUUUUCAAUGUAGAAAUCCCUAGACCAUAAACUAAAUUCUCCCCCUGAACCUUUAGAGAUAGCAUUUUAAAAAUCCUUGCAACUACUUCAAAUUUUCUUACAUUUCCUCGGGGGACUUAUUUUUUAUUCCAUCAAUGUUGUUUGAGAUACAUUACUGGAAAUUUUAUUCUGAGCUACAAAUACUCAUUUAAAUAAUACUAGGAUAAUCAUCAUAUAAAUGUUCAUUUAUACCUUUGUAUCACUCCCCAGCACUUUCCCCUCCGUCCCCACCACCCAUCCUUUGGUCCCUUUCCUCUGGCGAUCUCCCUUUGAUUUUCAUGAACUCCAUUCCCACUUUUCUUUUCCUUUUUCUCUCUGGUUUCUGCAUAUGAGAGAAAACAUCCAACCCUUAACCUCCUGAGUUAGUUUGACUUAUUUUGCUUAACAUAAUGUUCUCAAGUACCCUCCAUUUUCCUGCAAAGGACAUGAUUUCAUUUUUCUUUAUGGCUAAAUAAAGCUCCAUUGUGUAUCUAUACCACAUUUUCUUUAUCCAUUCACCUGUUGAUGGACACUUAGGCUGGUUCCAUAGUUUGGCCAUUGUGAAUUGUGCUGCUGUAAACAUGGGUAUGCAAGUAUCACUGUAGUAAGAUGACUAUAAUUAUUCAGGAUAAAUAUUGAGAAGUGGGAUAGCUGGAUUAUAUGGCAGUUCCAUGCCUAGUCUUUUGAGGAACCUCCAUACCGAUUUCAAUAAUGGUUGUACUAAAUUACAGUCCUACCAACAGAGUAAAAGUGUUUCUUUUUAUCCACAUUCUCCCCAGCAUUUAUUAUUAUUUGUAUUUUUGAUGACUGCCAUUCUGACUGGUAUGAGAUGAAAUCUCAGUGUAGUUUUGUUUUGUGUUUUCCUAAUUGCUAGAGAUGAACAUUUUUUCAUGUAUUUGUUGGUCAUUUGUAUUUCUUCUUUUGAAAAGUGUCUGUUUAAUUCACUUGUCCAUUCAUUAAUUGGGUUAUUCGAUUUUUAGAAUUAAGUUUUUUGAGUUCUUUAUGUAUUCCAGAUAUUAAUUCUGUCAGAAGAGUAGCUUGCAAAGAUUCUAAUCCCAUUCUGUAGGUUCUCCUCUUCACAUUCCCAAUUGUUUCCUUUGCUGUGCAGAAACUUUUAAUUUGAUGCUGCCUCAUUUAUUUAUUCUUGACAUUAUUUCCUGAGCUUUAGGGCUCCUACUGAGAAAGUCAUUGCCUAUGCCUAUAUGCUGGAGUGUUAACUCCAAGUUACUGUACUUUAAUUUAAAAUUCUUUCAAAGGCAUAUUUACAGUAACAACCAAAACUUAAAAUUGUGAAGGAAUAACUAUACAUACAUGUUUAAUUUAAAAAUUCCUUUAGACUAUUUCUAUAAAUAUCUAAACAACUAACAUUGAUUUAAAUUGCUU